UACGAAGGGGGCUAGCGUUGCUCGGAAUCACUGGGCGUAAAGGGUGCGUAGGCGGGUCUUUAAGUCAGGGGUGAAAUCCUGGAGCUCAACUCCAGAACUGCCUUUGAUACUGAGGACCUUGAGUUCGGGAGAGGUGAGUGGAACUGCGAGUGUAGAGGUGAAAUUCGUAGAUAUUCGCAAGAACACCAGUGGCGAAGGCGGCUCACUGGCCCGAUACUGACGCUGAGGCACGAAAGCGUGGGUAGCAAACAGG
rnacentral:rRNA from 1 species